rnacentral:lncRNA from 1 species
UAAGGAUUUCUAUUGUACUAAAGGUCAAAAAAUAUUUCCAUAGCAUUCACUGUUGGAUGGUCAAGAUCGAAAAAGGUUUUGGGUGACCUCGUUAACAAUAAAAAAAAAAAAAUUUUUGGAACUGUUCUCAAAUAAACAUUCACAGAAAGUACUUUCAAUCAAAAAAAGAAAUUUCAGAAAAAACAGUCCAAACGGACAAUUUUAACUUUCUAAACUAAACAAAAAAAGAAAAAAAAGAACUUGAGCAAGGGAUAACAAGCAAAAUGGUGGUGUCAUGUAAAUCCUACUAGUAUCCUUCAAUGAAAAGAAUGGCAAGUGAAUUAUUGAACCUCUAUAAUCAGCCACGGAUUUAAGGGGGGGCUGGUGGGGGCUUAAGCCCCCCCCCC